GAGCUAAUACCGGAUAAUAUAUAGUACCUCCUGGUACUAUAUUGAAAGUUGGUUUCGGCUAACACUUACAGAUGGGCCCGCGGCGCAAUAACUAGUUGGUGAGGUAACGGCUCACCAAGGGAACCAUGCUAACCCACCUGAAGGGUGAUCGGCCACCUGGGACUGAAACACGGCCCAAACUCCUACCGGAGGCAGCAGUAGGGAAUCUUCCACAAUGGACGAAAGUCUGAUGGAACAACCCCCCGUGAGCGAUGAAAGGCUUCGGUCCUAAAGCUCUGUUGUUAGGGAAAAACAAGUGCGAAAGUAACUGCUCCCACCUUGACGGUACCUAACCAGAAAGCCACGGCUAACUACCUGCCAGCAGCCGCGGUAAUACCUAGUGGCAAGCGUUGUCCGGAAUUAUUGGGCGUAAAGCGCGCGCAGGCGGUUUCUUAAGUCUGAUGUGAAAGCCCACGGCUCAACCGUGGAGGGUCAUUGGAAACUGGGAGACUUGAAUGCAGAAGAAGAGAGUGGAAUUCCACGUGUAGCGGUGAAAUGCGUAGAGAUGUGGAGGAACACCAGUGGCGAAGGCGACUCUCUGGUCUGUAACUGACGCUGAAGCGCGAAAGCGUGGGGAGCAAACAGGAUUAGAUACCCUGGUAGUCCACGCCGUAAACGAUGAGUGCUAAGUGUAGAGGGUUUCCGCCCUUUAAUGCUGCAGCUAACGCAUAAGCACUCCGCCUGGGGAGUACGGUCGCAAGACUGAAACUCAAAGAAUUGACGGGGCCGCACAAGCGGUGGAGCAUGUUAAUCGAAGCAACGGAGACCUACAGUCUGACAUCCUCUGCCACCUCUAGAGAUAGAGUCCCUCGGACAGAUGACAGGUGGUGCAUGGUCGUCAGCUUACUAUGGUGUCCCGCAGCACCUGUCUAUUGCUCA
rnacentral:rRNA from 2 species